rnacentral:rRNA from 1 species
GAAUGCUGACAUAAGUAACGAUAAAGCGGGUGAAAAGCCCGCUCGCCGGAAGACCAAGGGUUCCUGUCCAACGUUAAUCGGGGCAGGGUGAGUCGACCCCUAAGGCGAGGCCGAAAGGCGUAGUCGAUGGGAAACGGGUUAAUAUUCCCGUACUUGGUGUUACUGCGAAGGGGGGACGGAGAAGGCUAUGUUGGCCGGGCGACGGUUGUCCCGGUUUAAGCGUGUAGGUGUGUGUUCCAGGUAAAUCCGGUUCACUUUAACACUGAGGCGUGAUGACGAGGCACUACGGUGCUGAAGUAACAAAUGCCCUGCUUCCAGGAAAAGCCUCUAAGCAUCAGGUAACAUCAAAUCGUACCCCAAACCGACACAGGUGGUCAGGUAGAGAAUACCAAGGCGCUUGAGAGAACUCGGGUGAAGGAACUAGGCAAAAUGGUGCCGUAACUUCGGGAGAAGGCACGCUGACACGUAGGUGAAGUGAUUUACUCACGGAGCUGAAGUCAGUCGAAGA